rnacentral:rRNA from 1 species
GAAUUUUGGACAAUGGGCGCAAGCCUGAUCCAGCCAUGCCGCGUGUGUGAAGAAGGCCUUCGGGUUGUAAAGCACUUUCGGCCGGAACGAAAUCGCGCGAGUUAACACCCCGCGUGGACGACGGUACCGGAAGAAGAAGCACCGGCUAACUACGUGCCAGCAGCCGCGGUAAUACGUAGGGUGCGAGCGUUAAUCGGAAUUACUGGGCGUAAAGUGUGCGCAGGUGGCCGCGCAAGUCGAGUGUGAAAUCCCCGGGCUUAACUUGGGAAUUGCGCUCGAAACUACGUGGCUCGAGUGUGGCAGAGGGAGGUGGAAUUCCACGUGUAGCGGUGAAAUGCGUAGAGAUGUGGAGGAACACCAAUGGCGAAGGCAGCCUCCUGGGCCAACACUGACACUCAUGCACGAAAGCGUGGGGAGCAAAC